rnacentral:rRNA from 1 species
GCAAGUCGAGGGGUAACAGGAGAGCUUGCUACAGGCGACGACCGGCGCACGGGUGAGUAACGCGUAUGCAACCUACCUUCAACAGGGGAAUAGCCCAGGGAAACUUGGAUUAAUGCCCCAUAGUUCACAAGAUUCGCAUGUUUUUUGUGAUAAAGUUCCGGCGGUUGAAGAUGGGCAUGCGUGCCAUUAGAUAGUUGGUAAGGUAACGGCUUACCAAGUCAACGAUGGCUACGGGGUCUUAAAGGAUGGUC